rnacentral:rRNA from 1 species
GACGAACGCUGGCGGCGUGCUUAACACAUGCAAGUCGAACGGAAAGGCCCUGCUUUUGUGGGGUGCUCGAGUGGCGAACGGGUGAGUAACACGUGAGUAACCUGCCCUUGACUUUGGGAUAACUUCAGGAAACUGGGGCUAAUACCGGAUAGGAGCUCAUGCUGCAUGGUGGGGGUUGGAAAGUUUCGGCGGUUGGGGAUGGACUCGCGGCUGAUCAGCUUGUUGGUGGGGUAGUGGCUUACCAAGGCUUUGACGGGUAGCCGGCCUGAGAGGGUGACCGGCCACAUUGGGACUGGGAUACGGCCCAGACUCCUACGGGAGGCAGCGGUGGGGAAUAUUGCACAAUGGGCGGAAGCCUGAUGCGGCAACGCCGCGUGCGGGAUGACGGCCUGCGGGUUGUAAACCGCUUUCGCCUGUGACGAAGCGUGAGUGACGGUAAUGGGUAAAGAAGCACCGGCUAACUACGUG